AUUGCCACGAUAUAGCCAUGUUCGUCUAACUGAACGUACUAUACCGCGAAGAUGCGAAUGGCGCAUUAAAACUGUUAUAGUUUAGUCCAUAGUAGAAUUACGUGGAUAACCGUGGUAAAUCUAUGGCUAAUACAUGCGCAAAGGCCCGACCCUGAAGGGCUGUAUUUAUUAGAUCUAACCAUCAUUUGGUGAAUCAUAGUAACUGAUCGGACCGUGGGUUACCGCGGUAAAUCGAUCCCGUUUCUGCCCUAUCAGCUUUCGAAGGUACCGUAUUGCACUACCAUGCCGUUCGCGGGUAACGGACAAUUCCGGUUCGGCUCCCGAGAAGGAGCCUGACAAACGGCUACCACUGCUAAGGAAGGCAUCAGGUCCGUAAAUUGCCCAAUCCCGAUUCUGCGAGGAAGUGAGGAAAAAUAACAACUCGAGAGGGUGACCUCUACGACAUUGCAAUGACAACAACCCAAAACACUUAGCGAUGCUGGUUGGAGGGCUAGUCUGGU
rnacentral:rRNA from 1 species